AACGCUAGCUACAGGCUUAACACAUGCAAGUCGAGGGGCAGCAUUUCAGUUUGCUUGCAAACUGGAGAUGGCGACCGGCGCACGGGUGAGUAACACGUAUCCAACCUGCCGAUAACUCGGGGAUAGCCUUUCGAAAGAAAGAUUAAUACCCGAUGGUAUAAUCAGACCGCAUGGUCUUAUUAUUAAAGAAUUUCGGUUAUCGAUGGGGAUGCGUUCCAUUAGGCAGUUGGUGAGGUAACGGCUCACCAAACCUUCGAUGGAUAGGGGUUCUGAGAGGAAGGUCCCCCACAUUGGAACUGAGACACGGUCCAAACUCCUACGGGAGGCAGCAGUGAGGAAUAUUGGUCAAUGGGCGCAGGCCUGAACCAGCCAAGUAGCGUGAAGGAUGACUGCCCUAUGGGUUGUAAACUUCUUUUAUAUGGGAAUAAAGUUUUCCACGUGUGGAAUUUUGUAUGUACCAUAUGAAUAAGGAUCGGCUAACUCCGUGCCAGCAGCCGCGGUAAUACGGAGGAUCCGAGCGUUAUCCGGAUUUAUUGGGUUUAAAGGGAGCGUAGGUCGCAAGUCAAGCGUGUUGUGAAAUGCAGGGGCUCAACCUCUGGAUUGCAGCGCGAACUGGCAUGCUUGAGUACGCACGAGGUAGGCGGAAUUUGUGGUGUAGCGGUGAAAUGCUUAGAUAUCACGAAGAACUCCGAUUG
rnacentral:rRNA from 1 species